GACAGGGGGUGCAAACGUUGCUCGGAAUCACUGGGCGUAAAGCGCACGUAGGCGGUUCCGUAAGUCAGAUGUGAAAGCCCUCGGCUCACCCGAGGAACUGCGUCUGAUACUGCGGGGCUUGAGGACGGGAGGGGAGAGUGGAAUUCCUGGUGGAGCGGUGAAAUGCGUAGAUAUCAGGAGGAACACCGGUGGCGAAAGCGACUCUCUGGUCCGUUCCUGACGCUGAGGUGCGAGAGCUAGGGGAGCAAACGGG
rnacentral:rRNA from 1 species